AGUGAACGCUGGCGGUAGGCCUAACACAUGCAAGUCGAGCGGCAGCACAGUAAGAGCUUGCUCUUACGGGUGGCGAGUGGCGGACGGGUGAGGAAUACAUCGGAAUCUACUUUUUCGUGGGGGAUAACGUAGGGAAACUUACGCUAAUACCGCAUACGACCUACGGGUGAAAGCAGGGGAUCUUCGGACCUUGCGCGAUUGAAUGAGCCGAUGUCGGAUUAGCUAGUUGGCGGGGUAAAGGCCCACCAAGGCGACGAUCCGUGGCUGGUCUGAGAGGAUGAUCAGCCACACUGGAACUGAGACACGGUCCAGACUCCUACGGGAGGCAGCAGUGGGGAAUAUUGGACAAUGGGCGCAAGCCUGAUCCAGCCAUACCGCGUGGGUGAAGAAGGCCUUCGGGUUGUAAAGCCCUUUUGUUGGGAAAGAAAAGCAGCAGGUUAAUACCCCGCUGUUCUGACGGUACCCAAAGAAUAAGCACCGGCUAACUUCGUG
rnacentral:rRNA from 1 species